rnacentral:rRNA from 1 species
AUUGAACGCUGGCGGCAGGCCUAACACAUGCGAGUCGAGCGGAUGAAGGGAGCUUGCUCCUGGAUUCAGCGGCGGACGGGCGAGUAAUGCCUAGGAAUCUGCCUGGUAGUGGGGGAUAACGUCCGGAAACGGGCGCUAAUACCGCAUACGUCCUGAGGGAGAAAGUGGGGGAUCUUCGGACCUCACGCUAUCAGAUGAGCCUAGGUCGGAUUAGCUAGUUGGUGGGGUAAAGGCCUACCAAGGCGACGAUCCGUAACUGGUCUGAGAGGAUGAUCAGUCACACUGGAACUGAGACACGGUCCAGACUCCUACGGGAGGCAGCAGUGGGGAAUAUUGGACAAUGGGCGAAAGCCUGAUCCAGCCAUGCCGCGUGUGUGAAGAAGGUCUUCGGAUUGUAAAGCACUUUAAGUUGGGAGGAAGGGCAGUAAGUUAAUACCUUGCUGUUUUGACGUUACCAACAGAAUAAGCACCGGCUAACUUCGUG